GCCUUCGUGGUGUAGUGGUCAGCACACUGAGCCGGUAUUUCAGAGGUCCGCGGUUCGAUUCCCGGCGAAGGCA
rnacentral:tRNA from 1 species